UGACUUGGCGCGUCACUGACAAAGUAGCCUGUUUUAAAAAGAAAAGUUGUAUCCUUCAAAUACAGUGGUAUUUUUCAUAAUGUUGUGGAGAUGCCUUCACACCGCAUCAACACCUCCGUUCAGCUGCGGUUGUAUUACAAUAAGCUAUUAUUAUUGGACCUAUUCACACCAGACAAUGGACCGUUCGACCACUGAAUCCAGCAGUGUCUGCCAUAAUAUCGAAGUUAGUGCGCGUCAUUGAUCAUUGUUCUCACUAAAAUAUUUUCGCAUAGCAUGAGAUCUGCAGUUUAGUUUAAAGAUGAAUUAUUGUGCACCUAUAGCAGUCCUCGCUGUCAUUAAAACAGCAUGCCACAGGAAAUGCGAUCAAGCGCAUUCCACUAAAUAUGUCUAAAUUCAUAUCAUUUUUAACUUCUGCAUAAUGACUUUAUGCAUUUUACAGUGCUUAUCUCCAUAAUGAGUGGAAUAUUUAAUGUAAAUGUGUAUAUCGAAAUGAAAACCAUUUUUAUUAAGUCGUUGCUUACUUCAUUACUUUUCUUACACUAGGGAAAAAGAGUGCGUACACAUGGUCUAGAAUGUCCGUAAGGUGCAUACAUAUUUACGCCAAGUUUAUUUUUUAUAAAUUCUGAUAUGUGCAUGAAAAAUUGUGUACGCAAUUUCUAUGCCUAUUUUGUGCGUACGCAACCCCAGAUCUCAAUCCAAUAGAGCACCUUUGGGAUGUUGUGGAACGGGAGAUUCGCAUCAUGGUUGUGCAGCUGACAAAUCUGCAGCAACUGCAUGAUGCUAUCAUGUCAACAUGGACCAAAACACCUUGUUGAAUCCAUGCCACGAAUAAUUAAGGCAGUUCUGUAGGCAAAAGGGGGUCCAACAGAAAACUGAGUGUACCUAAUAAAGUUAGGUAAAUCUUGUCUAACUGAUCGGACUUAUGGUUUUCCUAUAAUGAAGAUUAAAAAUCAUAAAAAAUCCCAUAGACUUACAUUGUUGGAAUGUUCAGAUGAGCCAAGACUCAUCAAGCUCCAACUGACAGACAUUCAAAUGUAAACAAACUGAAGCUCAUUAGACUCCAUUAAGCUGCAACAUGGAAAAGAAGUGUCCGUGACAUCACUCAUAGGUUUCUGAAGAGCAUUUUUGAAGCCUAAAGUGGGGGGAGCCGACCGCACGUGUCACACACAAAAUCAUUAACAGUUCGCAAUUAAAUGCUUUUCUAAGGUGAUGCAUUGCUGCCACACAUAUUAUUUUUUCCACUCAAUUAUGUCGUAAUAACGAGAUGUUAUGUUGUUUUAACAACAUCUUUUCUCGUAAUAAUAAGAUGAAAUGACAACUUUUCUCGUAUAUAAUACUCAAAUAAUUUCCUGUUAUAAUAGAUGUAUGGUACAUUAUGUGAACGACCUAAGCGAUUGUCUGCACUGCUGUCGCCAAAGUCUGACAUAAACGAGGAACUGCACACUGCUGAAAUUAUUGAAAUACACUGUUUUAAAUAUUUUAAUGUAAUGGUUUUAAGUGUAGCGGCAUGUUUAUUAGGAUUAAUCUUCAAACUAUAUAAUAUAGUGCUAUCCAAUAACUGCACUCAGACCCAUGACUCAUUUAGGCUAUAGCCUAUGAUCAUAUCAAAACUUGGAAUAUUUCUUUAUUUAAAUAACUGAAGUUUAAUUCAACAACAAAUCGAAAUACGAACAAAAAUAGAUUUUCUAAUGGGCUAAUAAUAAUAAUAAUAAUAAUAAUAAUAAUUAUUGUUAUUAUUAUUAUUAUUAUUGUUGUUGUUAUUAUUUCGUUCUUUUGAGAAUGAGAAAUUAUGUCGUUAAAAUAACAUCUUGUUACUACGACAUAAUUGAGUGGAAAAAAUUAUGUGUGUGUGGCAGCAAUGUGUCACCGUACUUUUCCUACCUUUUCUUGUAACUUGAUAAAAUCCAUGGCAAUAAACGUCAAUCUGAGAUGUAUAUUUCACAGUCAUUCUGAGCAUUAUUUCUACUUGUUGGUGUUCACAUCAAUACAUAAGUUGUUCUUAUAGGUUAGGCUAUUUUCAUUCAAUUCGACUGUAAAAGAAGGCUAAGUAUGUCUUGCAUCCUUUAGCAAAAAUUAGCAAACAUUUCAAAUAAAUUAGUUUUUGUCUGGUUGUUAUGGUCAGAAAGAAAUUUAAUCACGUUAAUAUAUGUUAUAGCCUUUGAGACAGAUCACUAGAUUAUAUACAGAUGUUACUAUAAUCAUUUUGUUAAUAAUAUGUAAUAUGAUAUAUAAUGUGGAAAUUACAGCCUUUUGCCAUGGCAUGACAUCUCACUUUUUGCAGACAAUGCAAAGGCAGAGUACAAUAACUUCAAAAUAGUGGUAAAAAUCAAGUUUGAGAUCAUUUUCAUUAAAACAUCUAAUUGUCAGAUUUCCAGUGUCCUACCUAUAAUAAUAUGCCAUGUCACAAAGUUCAAGUAAUCUCAAACUGGUUUCUUAAACAUGGCAAUGUACACUUUGUCAUUGUCUCUGAAUUAAACUGAAAUGUAUAAUUGAUUUUCAUCAGCAUAAAAAUGGUAAUUCAUGUUAUAUUUUUGAAAUAUAUUGCCUAAAGGGAGAAUGUUUAAUGAAAAUAAAAGUCUCCCAAGAAUUGAUACUUUGGGAACACCAUAUAAUAUUUCAUAUGUCUUUGAUAUACAGGCACCAAAAAUUGCAUUUGUGUAAUAUAUAUUUAGAAACCAACAGUGUCAAAUGCUGCAGUUAGGUCCAGGAGAAUUGAAACUGGUUCAUUACCUUUAUCUGUAUUUAAUCUAAAAUUAUUUAACGUAUUGUUCUGAAUAUAAGACAAAUCGUUUUUUUUGGAAAUACAUCUGAAAAAAAGGGAUAGUUUCAAAUUCAGGAUAUUGACUUUUACAAAGUCGUGGCCUAGUGGUUAGAGCGUUUGACUCCUAACCCUAAGGUUGUGGGUUCGAGUCUCGGCUCGGCAACACCAUCGCUGCGUCCGAAAUCGCAUACUUCCAUACUAUAUAGUAGGCGAAAAACAGUAUGCGAAGCAAGUAGUAUGUCCGAAUUCUUAGUAUUCGAAAAACAGUAGGCGAGAUGUACCCGGAUGACCUACUACUUCCGCCCGAAUUCCGUAGCAUGCAUACGAUGGACACUACACUAUCCCAUGAGGCCACGGGAGAGGACUCGUCAUAUUCGAAAAUAACGGAAAACCGCGACGCGGCUGUUUUGAAGUGGACUGAUGAACACAGCCUUGUUCUCAUCCACUGAUGAAGACUUCUUCACUGAAGGCAUAAUGCUGCAAUCAAAGGGUUUCAGUAAUCAUGCUCUUGAAGAGCUGGCACACUGUUGUCUGGUGUGACACACCUGUGGACAGAUUGUCCCAAACAUGCUCUCCUGCGCUGGCUUCUGUGUUUUGGUAUUCCAGUGUAUCAUCGUCAUGAUCCUCACAACUUCUUGAUCAACAAUGUCCUCAUUCAGAAGACGGAGGUUGUGGAGCACUGCACAGCAUGCAGCAACAUCUGGCACAAAGGCAGGACUCACCAGCUUGUCUUCAACAUCUCGAAGGCUCUCUCAACAAUGUUCCGUGCACAAGCAUCAUUGGUGUUGAAACAAAGCUGUAAAGGUUUCUGUACAGGCUGUCUGUAUGGUGUGAUGAGGCAGGUGGGUGCACUCAAGCAAGGACACUCACCAUCUCCCAGGAUGCAUUUUCCUGCAGGUGGAUACAGGCGGCCAGUGUAAACAGGGCUGUUCUCCAGCACCAUGGCAUCGUACACAGACCCAGGAUACUCAACAAAGAUAUCAAGGUACUUCCCCUGGUGGUGGCCUGCAGCUGAACAGAUUGAAACCAUUUCCUGUUGAAAUAACAUUGGGUUUCACUUGCCGGUGGUUCAGUUUGUAUGUGACAGCAUCUAUUGUUCCAGCUACCACAAGGAAACCUGGUCCCACUACCUCCAGGUCAUCUGCGGUGGAGAGGGCAAUCAGCCUUCUCAAAAUCUCCAUGACAGACCUGCUCAUUCUGUGCACAAUGUUAUGCAGCUCUUGGAUGUCGAAGGCCAGUGACAGCAGCCUUUAUGAUGCUGCUCACAGUCUGUAAAUAUGUCGGGGUUUUUUUAGAAUGUAAUUUCAAUAGGUUACACUACACAUUUUUUGCUGAUUUAUCUAUAUCUUUCUUUAUCUAUCUAUCUAUCUAUAUAUGUGUGUAUAUUAUCUUUAAUGUAUAUAUUAUGUAUUUAUGUAUAUAUUGGGUGUGUUUGUACAGAUAUAUAUAUAUGUGUG